GACGAACGCUGGCGGCGUGCUUAACACAUGCAAGUCGAGCGGUAAGGCCCUUUCGGGGGUACACGAGCGGCGAACGGGUGAGUAACACGUGGGUGACCUGCCCUCAGCUCUGGGGAUAAGCCUGGGAAACUGGGUCUAAUACUGGAUAUGACUCCACGGUGCAUGUCGUGGGGUGAAAGCCUUGUGCGGCUGAGGAUGGGCCCGCGGCCUAUCAGCUUGUUGGUGGGGAUGGCCUACCAAGGCGACGACGGUAGCCGGCCUGAGAGGGCGACGGCCACACUGGGACUGAGACACGGCCCCAGACUCCUACGGGAGGCAGCAGGUGGGGAAUCUUGCGCAAUGGGCGAAAGCCUGACGCAGCGACGCCGCGUGA
rnacentral:rRNA from 1 species